CCUACGGGCGGCUGCAGUGGGGAAUAUUGGACAAUGGGGGCAACCCUGAUCCAGCCAUGCCGCGUGUGUGAAGAAGGCCCUCGGGUUGUAAAGCACUUUCAGUGAGGAAGAACGCCUGGUGGUUAAUACCCAUCAGGAAAGACAUCACUCACAGAAGAAGCACCGGCUAACUCCGUGCCAGCAGCCGCGGUAAUACGGAGGGUGCGAGCGUUAAUCGGAAUUACUGGGCGUAAAGCGCGCGUAGGUGGCUUGAUAAGCCGGUUGUGAAAGCCCCGGGCUCAACCUGGGAACGGCAUCCGGAACUGUCAAGCUAGAGUGCAGGAGAGGAAGGUAGAAUUCCCGGUGUAGCGGUGAAAUGCGUAGAGAUCGGGAGGAAUACCAGUGGCGAAGGCGGCCUUCUGGACUGACACUGACCCUGAGGUGCGAAAGCGUGGGUAGCAAACAGGAUUAGAUACCCUGGUAGUC
rnacentral:rRNA from 1 species